UACGGGGGGAGCAAGCGUUGUUCGGAUUUACUGGGCGUAAAGGGCGCGUAGGCGGUCGUGACAAGUCACUUGUGAAAUCUCCGGGCUUAACUCGGAAAGGUCAAGUGAUACUGUCGGACUAGAGUACAGAAGGGGCAACUGGAAUUCUCGGUGUAGUGGUGAAAUGCGUAGAGAUCGGCAGGAACACCCAGGGGGAAACCAGUCGACUGGGCAGCACCUGACGCUGAGGUGCGAGAGCGUGGGGAGCGAACCGG
rnacentral:rRNA from 1 species